rnacentral:lncRNA from 1 species
UAGAACCCAGACGCGUACGAUACCUGUGCGGUUAAACCUUGCCGAUGCCGAUAUUAUCUUGACCGUCCAGUAGACGGGAGGAAGGACUUUUUUUCAAAGGUAGCCCUUUCUUGCACCUUUGCUGACACGCUGACGCUUCCAUCGGCUAGGAAGGCGUACACGGCCAUUAGCAUCGUGAGCAUCAAUGUAAUGAGCGAAUAUUUCUACGAAGAGUCCAAAAAAGGUUACGCUAAGGGGACACCCAUGCUUCACACC